UACACAUGCAGUCGAACGGUGAAAGAGAGCUUGCUCUCUGGAUCAGUGGCGAACGGGUGAGUAACACGUGAGCAAUCUGCCCCUGACUCUGGGAUAAGCGCUGGAAACGGCGUCUAAUACCGGAUACGAGCUGCGAAGGCAUCUUCAGCAGCUGGAAAGAACUUCGGUCAGGGAUGAGCUCGCGGCCUAUCAGCUAGUUGGUGAGGUAAUGGCUCACCAAGGCGUCGACGGGUAGCCGGCCUGAGAGGGUGACCGGCCACACUGGGACUGAGACACGGCCCAGACUCCUACGGGAGGCAGCAGUGGGGAAUAUUGCACAAUGGGCGCAAGCCUGAUGCAGCAACGCCGCGUGAGGGACGACGGCCUUCGGGUUGUAAACCUCUUUUAGCAGGGAAGAAGCGAAAGUGACGGUACCUGCAGAAAAAGCGCCGGCUAACUACGUGCCAGCAGCCGCGGUAAUACGUAGGGCGCAAGCGUUAUCCGGAAUUAUUGGGCGUAAAGAGCUCGUAGGCGGUUUGUCGCGUCUGCUGUGAAAACCCGAGGCUCAACCUCGGGCCUGCAGUGGGUACGGGCAGACUAGAGUGCGGUAGGGGAGAUUGGAAUUCCUGGUGUAGCGGUGGAAUGCGCAGAUAUCAGGAGGAACACCGAUGGCGAAGGCAGAUCUCUGGGCCGUAACUGACGCUGAGGAGCGAAAGGGUGGGGAGCAAACAGGCUUAGAUACCCUGGUAGUCCACCCCGUAAACGUUGGGAACUAGUUGUGGGGUCCAUUCC
rnacentral:rRNA from 1 species